rnacentral:rRNA from 2 species
GAAUCCCGUAUAUGGCAUGGACUCCCGUUGCUCUGUGAUACACUCUCGACGAGUCGAGUUGUUUGGGAAUGCAGCUCUAAAUGGGUGGUAAAUGCCAUCUAAAGCUAAAUAUUGGCGAGAGACCGAUAGCGAACAAGUACCGUGAGGGAAAGAUGAAAAGCACUUUGGAAAGAGAGUGAAACAGUACGUGAAAUUGUUGAAAGGGAAACGCUUGAAGUCAGUCGCGCCGUUCGGGAUUCAGCCUUGCUUCUGCUCGGUUUACUUCCCGUUGGGUGGGUCAACAUCAGUUUCGGUCGGAGGAGAAAGACUUGGGGAAGGUAGCAGCAUUCGUGCUGUGUUAUAGCCCCUUGUUGUAUACUUCGGUUGGGACUGAGGACCGCAGCACGCCUUUGGCCGGGGUUCGCCCACGUACGUGCUUAGGAUGUUGGCAUAAUGGCUUUAAGCGACCCGUCUUGAAACACGGACCAAGGAGUCUAACAUGUGCGCGAGUGUUCGGGUGGAAAACCCGUGCGCGUAAUGAAAGUGAAAGUUGGGACCUCUGUCGUGGAGGGCACCGACGCCCGGACCAGACCUUCUGUGACGGAUCUGCGGUAGAGCGUGUGUGUUGGGACCCGAAAGAUGGUGAACUAUGCCUGAAUAGGGUGAAGCCAGAGGAAACUCUGGUGGAGGCUCGUAGCGAUUCUGACGUGCAAAUCGAUCGUCAAAUUUGGGUAUAGGGGCGAAAGACUAAUCGAACCAUCUAGUAGCUGGUUCCUGCC